AAUGUGGAUGACCAUAUCAGGAUUGGGAAUUAAAUCCUAGGUCACCUUGAGCAUUUAGGUCAAAGGAAUAAAUUAUACAGUAACUAUAUUCAAAUAGGUUCUUGAGUGUUGCUUAGCAUAAAUUUGGCCUAUCCAGACAUCGGGUACCAUUAUUAGAUGGUUACUCUGAUUGAUAUAGGAAUCAGUUCCUAUGCUACCGGCUU
rnacentral:lncRNA from 1 species